rnacentral:rRNA from 1 species
UACGAAGGGGGCUAGCGUUGCUCGGAAUCACUGGGCGUAAAGCGCACGUAGGCGGAUUGUUAAGUCAGGGGUGAAAUCCUGGAGCUCAACUCCAGAACUGCCUUUGAUACUGGCGAUCUCGAGUCCGGGAGAGGUGAGUGGAACUGCGAGUGUAGAGGUGAAAUUCGUAGAUAUUCGCAAGAACACCAGUGGCGAAGGCGGCUCCCUGGCCCGAAACCGACGCUCCUGCACCAAAGCGUGGGGAGCAAACAGG